AAAACCAGUAAGUUUGCCAUUCACGACUCGGAAAAACCACAGGGGGCGCGGGAAGAAAGCACUGUAAAUAAACUAAGGACUGAUUUCCAGCUAAAGCCACACUGAAGUAGAUGUAGACCAGACUUAAAGCUCAGAGGGAGAUGAGACAUCAAAUUUGCACCUUUUCAGGAAAAUGAAAACUUCAGGUCCUUUGCCCAAGCCUAAAUACAAAAGAAGAAGAAAAAGACGCGCUAAUUUUGUACAGAAUUACAUGCCAAUUGAAGACAGCCAAACAGAAUCUUACUUCAGCUUCAAUCCAUUCAAACUCUGUGCUAUGUUGCUGGGUGGACACCCUGAUGGAAUUUCACUUGGAACUACUAUGUGGAACUUUAUUGUGCUGCUUGCUAAAACAUCUCAGGAUUUCAUCAACCUCAUCUCUAUGCAGAUAGAGGGCCACCCACCAAACCACAUCCACCACUGGCCCC